rnacentral:rRNA from 1 species
GAUGAACGCUGGCGGCGUGCCUAAUACAUGCAAGUCGAGCGAACGGACGAGAAGCUUGCUUCUCUGAUGUUAGCGGCGGACGGGUGAGUAACACGUGGAUAACCCACCUAUAAGACUGGGAUAACUUCGGAAAACCGGAGCUAAUACCGGAUAAUAUUUUGAACCGCAUGGUUCAAAAGUGAAAGACGGUCUUGCUGUCACUUAUAGAUGGAUCCGCGCUGCAUUAGCUAGUUGGUAAGGUAACGGCUUACCAAGGCAACGAUGCAUAGCCGACCUGAGAGGGUGAUCGGCCACACUGGAACUGAGACACGGUCCAGACUCCUACGGGAGGCAGCAGUAGGGAAUCUUCCGCAAUGGGCGAAAGCCUGACGGAGCAACGCCGCGUGAGUGAUGAAGGUCUUCGGAUCGUAAAACUCUGUUAUUAGGGAAGAACAUAUGUGUAAGUAACUGUGCACAUCUUGACGGUACCUAACCAGAAAGCCACGGCUAACUACGUG